rnacentral:rRNA from 1 species
GCAAAUACUCAAAAAAACAAUCUCAGUUCAGACUGCAGGCUGCAACUCGCCUGCACGAAGUCGGAAUUGCUAGUAAUCGUAGGUCAGCAUACUACGGUGAAUACGUUCCCGGGCCUUGUACACACCGCCCGUCAAACCAUGAGAGUUGGCAACACCCGAAGUCGGUAGUCUAACCGCAAGGAGGACGCCGCCGAAGGUGGGGUUGAUGAUUAGGGUUAAGUCGUAACAAGGUAGC